rnacentral:rRNA from 1 species
UACGUAGGUGGCAAGCGUUUGUCCGGAUUUACUGGGCGUAAAGAGCGCGCAGGCGGUCGUUCAAGUCGCGUGUGAAAGCCCCCGGCUCAACUGGGGAGGGUCACGCGAUACUGAUCGACUCGAAGGCAGGAGAGGGUAGUGGAAUUCCCGGUGUAGUGGUGAAAUGCGUAGAUAUCGGGAGGAACACCAGUGGCGAAGGCGACUACCUGGCCUGUUCUUGACGCUGAGGCGCGAAAGCUAGGGUAGCAAACGGGG